CUGUCUGCCUAUAAAAGCAGCUCACCACACGGCCAGGGUCAGAACUGGGAACCGUGUCUGGUCAGGAGGCUCAGCCCACUUCUCGGAAGAUGUUCUUGCCCAAGUAAACUCAGAUUUCCCAGAAGAGCCCUGCAAGGUCUAUCACACUGUCCUCAUGUUACCAUAAGGAAACAGAAGGCUCCAAGGAUUUACUGAUCCAAGUCCCAAGUUCGUGAGUGGCAGAGCUGGGCCUGGAAAGUGUUCCAUUGUUGACCAGAAAUGGAAGGUGGUGAUGGUUAUACAACAAUGGAUAACCACAAAAUAUAUCUAAUGCCACAAAACUAAACAUCGAAAAUGGGAAAAUGGUGAAUGUUACGUGUAUUUACCACAAUAAAAACAACCACAGAUUUUGAGGAAGUUAAUUCUUGCGAUGAACUGUGCCCACGAGCCCUGAAGUCACCCUGAGGAAGUCAGGAGUCCGGGUGGAUGAGGAGCCCGUGGACAGCCUGGGGCUGAGGUCUGUAAAGAACGCACAGCGAGGGCCCGGAAGCACCAGAAGGCAGCGAGAAGAAGAUGGGCCAAGUGCAUUUUUGUGACAUGUUGUGAAGAUUUCCUGGUGAAGCUCUUUGAGGGCCCUUAAUACAGAGGGGUGGGGAGGACUACGAAGUAGGCAGCUGCCACCAGGGUCCUCAAAGGAGGAGGGGCUCCUCCUGGCAGAGACAGGAAGGCAGCAUCCAGGAGAGGCGAGCUGGUCCACACUCAUGCGUCACA